CAGAAGGAACCAUACCAUCAUUGUAAGGUCUGUUGAAGUCCCCGGUGGAAAGACAAAGCUGUAACCUAUGAACACACUGGCGUCCUGAACUCCGUUGCGGCAUGAAGCUUUUGUAUGAGCAUCAUUUGAAAAAUAGAAGAUGAAGUCACGACAACUGUGGAGUGCUGCAGAAUUGCACUCCUACUUCUGGGAGUUUCCUUUGUCUAUGAUCAUCUACCUGCAGCAGCAACGCCCCGUCUAGCACCUGUGCACUUCCAUGAAUUGUGAACUUCACUAUUACAGCAGAUUGAUUGCGCACCUGGGUCAGUGCGGGUCCGUGCACAGAAUUUGUAGUCCAGUAGAGCCGGUCUCCUCCCUGCUUGCACAUACAGACUGGGACCUAACUACCUAAUGGGAGGACCUUCUGAUGUCACCU